AGGGCUAUCGCCAAACGGUAAGGCAACGGACUCUGACUCCGUCAGUCAGUUCAAGGUUCGAAUCCUUGUAGCCCUG
rnacentral:tRNA from 1 species